rnacentral:rRNA from 1 species
AUAUCAAUAAGCGGAGGAAAAGAAACCUAACAGGGAUUGCCCUCAGUAACUGGCGAGUGAAGCGGGAAAAACUCAAAUUUAAAAUCUGGCGGUCUUUGGCCGUCCGAGUUGUAAUUUAGAGAAGCGUCUUCCGCGCCGGACCGUGCACAAGUCUCCUGGAAUGGAGCGUCAUAGAGGGUGAGAAUCCCGUCUUUGGCACGGAUGCCCGGUGCUUCUGUGAUGCGCUCUCGAAGAGUCGAGUUGUUUGGGAAUGCAGCUCAAAAUGGGUGGUGAACUCCAUCUAAAGCUAAAUAUUGGCGAGAGACCGAUAGCGAACAAGUACCGUGAGGGAAAGAUGAAAAGCACUUUGGAAAGAGAGUGAAACAGUAC